rnacentral:lncRNA from 1 species
CUGGAGGCGAGUUGGCUCCGGGUGGGGGAGGCUGGGGUUCCAAACCAGGGCAGGGGAAUGGUGGCCCUGCGUGGCUCGUGGACCUCUCUCAGGGACCCCUCUCAGCAGGGGCCGGAAAAGCAGGCCCACACCCAGUGGUCAUUGCAGGAACUUCACUUGAGCUGGUCUGCUUGUGAGCCUGUGGUUUGGAGAGGAGAAGACGCACUUCCCCAUGAGAAAAAGGUGGUCAUCCCCAUGGGCUCCACAGAUGAGGACAUCGGCCCUCAGCUCUGCCCCCUCUCAGAAGCCUUCCUCACCUGGGGGUUCUGGGUGAAGGGAGCUCCCCGCCAGAGACUCAUGUGGGAUCGUGUGUGGACCGUAGAGCCACAGAGCGUCAUCUGUAAGCCAGGUGA